rnacentral:misc_RNA from 1 species
GAAAUGCGAUAAGUAGUGUGAAUUGCAGAAGUCAGUGAAUCAUCGAAUCUUUGAACGCACAUUGCGCCCCUUGGUAUUCCAUGGGGCAUGCCUGUUCGAGCGUCAUUUGUACCCUCAAGCUCUGCUUGGUGUUGGGUGUUUGUCCCCGUCUCCGCGCGUGGACUCGCCCCAAAGUGAUUGGCAGCCGGCGUACUGGUCCCGGAGCGCAGCACAUGUCGCGCAAACGAGUGCCUUGGUACGGCGGCGUCCAUAAGCCCCUCUCUCACGCUCUUGACCUCGGAUCAGGUAGGGAUACCCGCUGAACUUAAGC